rnacentral:misc_RNA from 1 species
GAUGAAGAACGCAGCGAAAUGCGAUAAGUAAUGUGAAUUGCAGAAUUCAGUGAAUCAUAGAAUCUUUGAACGCACAUUGCGCCCGCCAGUAUUCUGGCGGGCAUGCCUGUUCGAGCGUCAUUUCAACCAUCAAGCCCCCGGGCUUGUGUUGGGGACCUGCGGCUGCCCGCAGGCCCUGAAAACCAGUGGCGGGCUCGCUGUCACACCGAGCGUAGUAGCAAUCACCUCGCUCAGGGCGUGCUGCGGGUUCCGGCCGUUAAACAGCCUUACAAAACCCAAGGUUGACCUCGGAUCAGGUAGGAAGACCCGCUGAACUUAAGCAUAUCAAUAAGCGGAGGA